UACGGAGGAUGCAAGCGUUAUCCGGAUUCAUUGGGUUUAAAGGGUGCGCAGGCGGAAUGAUAAGUCAGUGGUGAAAUCCUACGGCUCAACUGUAGAACUGCCAUUGAUACUGUCGUUCUUGAGUACACUUGGAGUGGGCGGAAUGUGUCAUGUAGCGGUGAAAUGCUUAGAUAUGACACAGAACACCGAUCGCGAAGGCAGCUCACUAAAUUGUAACUGACGCUCAGGCACGAAAGCGUGGGGAUCAAACAGGAUUAGAAACCCUAGUAGUCC
rnacentral:rRNA from 1 species